rnacentral:rRNA from 1 species
GGGUUGUGAGGUUAAGCGACUAAGCGUACACGGUGGAUGCCCUGGCAGUCAGAGGCGAUGAAGGGCGUGCUAAUCUGCGAUAAGCGCCGGUAAGGUGAUAUGAACCGUUAUAACCGGCGAUACCCGAAUGGGGAAACCCAGUGUGAUUCGUCACACUAUCAUUAACUGAAUCCAUAGGUUAAUGAGGCGAACCGGGGGAACUGAAACAUCUAAGUACCCCGAGGAAAAGAAAUCAACCGAGAUUCCCCCAGUAGCGGCGAGCGAACGGGGAGGAGCCCAGAGCCUGAAUCAGCAUGUGUGUUAGUGGAAGCGUCUGGAAAGGCGCGCGAUACAGGGUGACAGCCCCGUACACAAAAGCGCAUGUGCUGUGAGCUCGAUGAGUAGGGCGGGACACGUGAUAUCCUGUCUGAAUAUGGGGGGACCAUCCUCCAAGGCUAAAUACUCCUGACUGACCGAUAGUGAACCAGUACCGUGAGGGAAAGGCGAAAAGAACCCCGGCGAGGGGAGUGAAAAAGAACCUGAAACCGUGUACGUACAAGCAGUGGGAGCACCCUUCGGGGUGUGACUGCGUACCUUUUGUAUAAUGGGUCAGCGACUUAUAUUCUGUAGCAAGGUUAACCGAAUAGGGGAGCCGGAGGGAAACCGAGUCUUAACCGGGCGUUAAGUUGCAGGGUAUAGACCCGAAACCCGGUGAUCUAGCCAUGGGCAGGUUGAAGGUUGGGUAACACUAACUGGAGGACCGAACCGACUAAUGUUGAAAAAUUAGCGGAUGACCUGUGGCUGGGGGUGAAAGGCCAAUCAAACCGGGAGAUAGCUGGUUCUCCCCGAAAGCUAUUUAGGUAGCGCCUCGUGAAUUCAUCUCCGGGGGUAGAGCACUGUUUCGGCUAGGGGGCCAUCCCGGCUUACCAACCCGAUGCAAACUGCGAAUACCGGAGAAUGUUAUCACGGGAGACACACGGCGGGUGCUAACGUCCGUCGUGAAGAGGGAAACAACCCAGACCGCCAGCUAAGGUCCCAAAGUCAUGGUUAAGUGGGAAACGAUGUGGGAAGGCCCAGACAGCCAGGAUGUUGGCUUAGAAGCAGCCAUCAUUUAAAGAAAGCGUAAUAGCUCACUGGUCGAGUCGGCCUGCGCGGAAGAUGUAACGGGGCUAAACCAUGCACCGAAGCUGCGGCAGCGACACUGUGUGUUGUUGGGUAGGGGAGCGUUCUGUAAGCCUGUGAAGGUGUGUCGUGAGGCAUGCUGGAGGUAUCAGAAGUGCGAAUGCUGACAUAAGUAACGAUAAAGCGGGUGAAAAGCCCGCUCGCCGGAAGACCAAGGGUUCCUGUCCAACGCUAAUCGGGGCAGGGUGAGUCGACCCCUAAGGCGAGGCCGAAAGGCGUAGUCGAUGGGAAACGGGUUAAUAUUCCCGUACUUGGUGUUACUGCGAAGGGGGGACGGAGAAGGCUAUGUUGGCCGGGCGACGGUUGUCCCGGUUUAAGCGUGUAGGUGUGUGUUCCAGGUAAAUCCGGUUCACUUUAACACUGAGGCGUGACGACGAGGCACUACGGUGCUGAAGCAACAAAUGCCCUGCUUCCAGGAAAAGCCUCUAAGCAUCAGGUAACAUCAAAUCGUACCCCAAACCGACACAGGUGGUCAGGUAGAGAAUACCAAGGCGCUUGAGAGAACUCGGGUGAAGGAACUAGGCAAAAUGGUGCCGUAACUUCGGGAGAAGGCACGCUGACACGUAGGUGAAGUGAUUUACUCAUGGAGCUGAAGUCAGUCGAAGAUACCAGCUGGCUGCAACUGUUUAUUAAAAACACAGCACUGUGCAAACACGAAAGUGGACGUAUACGGUGUGACGCCUGCCCGGUGCCGGAAGGUUAAUUGAUGGGGUCAGCGCAAGCGAAGCUCCUGAUCGAAGCCCCGGUAAACGGCGGCCGUAACUAUAACGGUCCUAAGGUAGCGAAAUUCCUUGUCGGGUAAGUUCCGACCUGCACGAAUGGCGUAAUGAUGGCCAGGCUGUCUCCACCCGAGACUCAGUGAAAUUGAACUCGCUGUGAAGAUGCAGUGUACCCGCGGCAAGACGGAAAGACCCCGUGAACCUUUACUAUAGCUUGACACUGAACAUUGAGCCUUGAUGUGUAGGAUAGGUGGGAGGCUUUGAAGCGUGGACGCCAGUCUGCGUGGAGCCGACCUUGAAAUACCACCCUUUAAUGUUUGAUGUUCUAACGUGGACCCGUGAUCCGGGUUGCGGACAGUGUCUGGUGGGUAGUUUGACUGGGGCGGUCUCCUCCUAAAGAGUAACGGAGGAGCACGAAGGUUGGCUAAUCCUGGUCGGACAUCAGGAGGUUAGUGCAAUGGCAUAAGCCAGCUUGACUGCGAGCGUGACGGCGCGAGCAGGUGCGAAAGCAGGUCAUAGUGAUCCGGUGGUUCUGAAUGGAAGGGCCAUCGCUCAACGGAUAAAAGGUACUCCGGGGAUAACAGGCUGAUACCGCCCAAGAGUUCAUAUCGACGGCGGUGUUUGGCACCUCGAUGUCGGCUCAUCACAUCCUGGGGCUGAAGUAGGUCCCAAGGGUAUGGCUGUUCGCCAUUUAAAGUGGUACGCGAGCUGGGUUUAGAACGUCGUGAGACAGUUCGGUCCCUAUCUGCCGUGGGCGCUGGAGAACUGAGGGGGGCUGCUCCUAGUACGAGAGGACCGGAGUGGACGCAUCACUGGUGUUCGGGUUGUCAUGCCAAUGGCACUGCCCGGUAGCUAAAUGCGGAAGAGAUAAGUGCUGAAAGCAUCUAAGCACGAAACUUGCCCCGAGAUGAGUUCUCCCUGAGACUUAAAGUCUCCUGAAGGAACGUUGAAGACGACGACGUUGAUAGGCCGGGUGUGUAAGCGCAGCGAUGCGUUGAGCUAACCGGUACUAAUGAACCGUGAGGCUUAACCUUACAACGCCGAAG